rnacentral:snRNA from 1 species
AUAGUUACCUGGCAGGGGAGAUACCAUGAUCAUGAAAGUGGUUUUCCCAGCGUGAGGCUCAUCCAUUGUACAUUGGGUGUACUGAUCCCUGUGAUUUCCCCAAAUGUGGGAAAAUCAACUGCAUAAUUUGUGGUAGUGGGGGGACUGUGUUUGUGGUUUCUCCUG